GUGCUUGCUGAGGCAGCACGUAGACUAAAAGUGGAACAUACAGAGAAGAUUAGCAGGGUCUGUGGGCAAGGAUGACAUGCAUAUUUAUGCAGAGUCCCAUAUUGUU
ensembl:snRNA U6 U6 spliceosomal RNA